rnacentral:misc_RNA from 1 species
AAAUUUACUAAUAAUAGUUACAAUCAUGUAACGAAUAAAAAAUUCGUAUAGGUACUUACACGUAUUACCUAAACCUUUUUAUUUAUAAAUAUAAACACACUCUAGAUUUCCUUGCAGAAUAUACUCUACGUGAUAGACAAAGUAUCCGAAUUUCUCAACAAAGAGUAUUCAACUGAGCAAAAAGAAAAGUUAGCCAAGCAUCUCAGCUUUGAAAACAUGAAAAAGUCGCCAACUUCGAAAAAACUGUGGACAAAAACAGCAAAAUGAAGUUUUUUUUAAAGAGCUCGAUCAAAUUUAAAUGGAACCAUAUGGCAAGCAACUGUUGGAUAAAAAAAAACAUCAUCGAAAUCGGAACACACGGUAAAAAGUUACAACCUCCUUCUUUUUUUUAAUUCAUCUAAAAUCAGGAAAAUUUCACACA